rnacentral:lncRNA from 1 species
CACCCCGAAAGGCGUUGGUAGCGGGUUCGAUCCCGGGACCAGGGCGAAUUUUUCAGCAACUGAGAAGCUUUCUUUCUGUGAAAUCCGUAUAUAUUUCCUUGCGACUUCAUGCUCCAAACGAGUGGUUGUCAAUUUUCCCUUUCUUAAACAUCCCACCGCCAUC